CAGCAGCCGCGGGAACACGUAGGGGGCGAGCGUUGUCCGAAUUUACUGGGCGUAAAGAGCAUUAAGGCGGUUUCUUAAGUGAGAGGUGAAAGGUUCAGGGCUUAACCCGAACACUGCCUUUCAUACUGGGAGACUUGAGUACGGGAGAGGCGAGUGGAAUUUCUGGUGUAGCGGUGAAAUGCGUAGAUACCAGAAGGAACACCCAUGGCGAAGGCAGCUCGCUGGCCUGUAACUGACGCUGUAGUGCGAAAGCGUGGGGAGCAAACAGGAUUAGAUACCCCGGUAGUCCCUGUCUCUUAUA
rnacentral:rRNA from 1 species